AGCUUUGCUUUUGGGGCUGGCUGACCUGUGUGUUUAGCUCCUGUGUACCUACUCUCAGACCAGGUGGUGUCACAGGGUGGACUGUCCCUUUAAGGACAAGCCUAGGCUAGUAAAAUCCUGCUCCAAAUCUCAGCUGCUCUUCAGUGACUCCUGAUUGAGAGGGCUGUUGGAUGUGCUUGAGGUGGGGUACAGAAGGACCUGGGGAGAGUGAAGCAAGAGGAGAAAAAGACUUGGGGUAUUGCAGUACUGGUCUGGUGCAGGCUGUUAAGGGCAUUUGAAGGCCACUUGUCAGGGGAAACUGAGAUAGUAGCGGUGUCCUGAUGAUGCAGCUGAUGGAAAGGAGCCUGCAUCUCUGUGGCAAUUCCUGGAGAGCCCUUCGGCAUGACUCAUGAUAGGUUAACGGCAGGUCACCCAGUGGCACAUGCAUGAAGACACACCACCCAGGAGGUAGGAGACGCACACCCUCUGGCUGACCAUGGUGUGUCCUGCAAGGGAAGUCGAUUUACAGACUGACUCAAAUGCUAAUGAAGAGACCUCCAAGACAUCAAGAGAAGAAAUUAACGGGAAGAGGAGAACAGCGGGGAGGGGCUGUUUACAGAUGAAGAACAAAGGACUGGUUUAAUAUCUCUAGGGGUACAGAGAGACGUCCUGGGAUCCUUCCUCCGGGGAUCCAAACUACCAGCAUGCUGAGGGUCUCAGCCAUUCUGGUUGGAAAAUGCUGGGAGAAGGACGCUGGGGUGAGCGGCUCCUUAUUAGACAAGAACGCACCUUGUUAGCAGAGUUUGGGCUCUAGAAUGCGUGUUACAAUUGGGUUUUAUAUGUAACACUUUGUUGAUGGUAUUUCUGCUUGCUGUCAUUCUUGCUUUCUCAGUAAAUAACUGCGUGGCAGGCAAGGUAUAACUA